ACGCAGCUUAGGCUUUUUUUUCUUCCCCAGCGACGCGCGAGCGGAAGAUGUCUAGGCGCGCGCUGUUGCCAUGGUAAUUCGUACCCGCCUCUACGCUUGUGAGCUCGUUUAUGGCCUCUUUCUCCAGGGAAACUGAGGCCUGCAGACGUUAAAUAAUAAGAAGUAAAAAGCCGGGUAUGUUGAACUUCAGAGCAUAUGAACUGCCUCCCCACUGUUCGCUGGAUUGUUCUUAGAGUGGAAUAUGACCGUUCAUGAGACAUAUCUAGAAGGAAGUUGUGAUGGCCAGUGUCGAACAGGACAUAAUUGGAAGAAUUGGUUAUACAACUGAGACCUUGGCUGGAAUAUCAUAUUUGAGAAUGAUGUUCAUUUUCUGUAUAUGACCAGGCACUUUUAAGGAAUUAAAAUGUUUAUGGAGCAAUGCUUACAAAGCCCAUGUGGGAAAACUAGCUUGGUACCCAGCCUAUAGUGUUCUCUGCCUUACAGCAUGCCCCUUUUAGGAUCCUGAAGUCUUUAAAGUCUCCAAGACUCUAAAAUCAUUGACAUUUGCCGCCACCUCUCAACAGAUGUUUUUAUCGAGUUUACAGGAAACAGUGCCAACAAGAAUCCCUGAGAGACUACUUCUUAGUCCUUGCUUCAUCCCACUCAAGAGGCUUAUGAUCAGCUUUACGUUGUUCAGGAUGAAAUAUAUUCAUGUGUCUUGAACAAUUGUCAUUGUCUUGGCAGUGUUGAACUCUAUUUGAGCCCUGUGUUUCUGGAAACCAGGAACAGUAAGGACCCUUCCUUUCCACUCUUUUGUGUUCUAAGAAAUGGCUAACCAUAAAAGACUACUCUACUGUCACAUACUCAUUGUUGUUUAUUGACAAGAGUCACUUACCACUUCAGUAACACAUCUCGACUGCCCUGCUGGGCCUUUCAGGUGUAAAGAUCUGGAAGAAUUUGUUCAGCGCUUUCUGGAGUUGCACAAGGUAAUAAGCAGGGAUUGCACAAUUUGGUGUCAGAUUUCUAGCAGCAACUUUUCUCAAUUGUUUGGGAUUCUUCCUUCUUUCAAGGUACAGGUUAGGACUCUCUUCAUAAAAAAUGUCCACUUUUAUCUUCCCAAAGCAUAGCUCUUGUAACGGAAGUGUUGGUUGCCUAACCAGCACUCUUUUUUUUUUUUUUUUAUCCUCCUAAUGCCAGUGGAUCUGAAUACCAUUUAAGGAAGUUAGAGAUCCAAUUACCCAAAGGUGAGAGUCAUCAUAGACACCACGCUAUUGGAAGAACACAUGGAUAUUUUUCAGGCUAAAAAUGACCUUAUUUUUAAGAGGUUUCCAUCUCUUUAUUUAAUUUCAUUUGAACGAGACAGCAUUUAAGUGAUUACCAUCUACUGAAUAAUUUGUGCAAUAGAGAUUAAAUGUUAAUCCUUGUAUUGUUUUGAAGUGGGAUAAUUCUUGUGUGUGUAUUUUAUAAAUUAUAAAGUGGUAUGACAUUUGUAAGGUGUUGUGAUGUAAAAUUCUAAUUAUUGAGCAUUCUCAUAGGCUACACAUUGCGCUGAGGGUUUAUAUAGUUUAUAACAUUAAACUCUGAUUGCCAAAUCUAGUUGUUCAAUGUAGAUCUCCUGGGGAUCUACAUACAUGCAAAUUCAUGAGCUCCCUAUUUACAGAUUAUGAGUCAGAAGGUGUGGCAUCAGAUCUAGAUAUUUUCAUUAUCCUAGUCUCUUAAGGGGAUUCCAAUAUACCAUUAGGUUUUAGAACCACUGGUUUGUCUUUAGAAUAACCCUGUAAGGUAAUUCCUAAUUCCAUUUUCUUCUUUCACCUAAGGGCCCUAAAUGGGCUAUAAAAAAUUAAGUUUUUUCCCUCCUAUGAAAAUUUCUAUCAUUGGUGUGUCAGAAUAACAAAUUUUUACCAGGAAAUGGAUUGGAAUUCUUUGUCCUCAAAGAGUUUAUAGGCUGGUGAAAUACCAAUGUAAGGAAAUAAUUAUAUUAAAGUGUGAUAAAGGCUAUAAAGGGUCACGUUUCAGACCAAACAGUAGUAAAAGAAAAAAAAGAGGGGGGGGGAAUCAUCUGGAGAGAGUAAAGGUAAGAGAAAGAUUUACAGAAUGGUGAAAGAGGCCUGAGCACAUACAGAGCAAGGAUAUCUGAACCAGCAUAUUAAAGGAAUAGCAGUAGUUUAAUUUGGCUGUGGGGUAAGGCAUUUAGUGGAAAGCAUGGACAUUGAAAUCUGACAAACACAGGUUCAGAUUCUAGCUCUGCCACUUACUAAAUAAGUGACAUUGGAUACAUUUGCUUAUAGUGCUGUGAUCUGAAUGUUUGUGUCCCCCACCCACCCCAAAAUCAUAUGUUGAAAUCCUAACCACCAAAGGUGAUGGUUAUUAGUAGGUGAGGUGGGGAUGAUUAGGUCAUGAGGUGGAGUAUUUAUGAAUGAGAUUCUUUAAAAAAUGAUCUUGCAGUUCCCUGGCCCCUUCCACCAUGCGAGGAUACAAUAAGAAGUCUGUUUUCUGCAAGAGAGCCCUCACCUGACCAAGUUGUCACCCUGAUCUUGAAUUUGCAUCCUCCAGAACUAUGAGAAAUAAAUUCCUACUGUUUAUUAGCCACUCAGUAUAUGGUAUUUUGUUAUAGCAACCCAAAUGACUAAGACUCUUCCUUGAACCUCUGCUUUCUCAGCUAGGAUAACAGAACUUCAUUACGGUUCAGAGUAUCUGUCAAGGUUAAUGGAACAUUAUAAAUUAACAUAUUUUAACUUUAAUAUUCUACUGUUACUAUGACUACUGCUAUAAGUCCUCUUUAUGGAAAGCAUUUGGUCUUUAUUACCAUAGCUGCUCUUGGACUGCCACUAAAAUAGGGAAAGGGUGGGGUGGGAACAAAUUUGCCUUUUACCAAGACUGCUUUGUCAGUGGGAGCUGGAUGAAUAUGAGGACAUGGAGGCAAAGAGAUUACCUCUUGGACUAUUUCUCAUCUAGGUGAGGCAUGGUAAGGAUAUUAGUAAUGGCAAUGGGGAUGGGGGGAAAAGAUUCAGAGGUAUUUAUUUAUCAUUUAUCAUGAUAUUAUGAUAUACACAGGUAUGUUGAAAACAAAACCAAGCAUGACAUAAAAUUAACAAAGGCUAUUUUAUUCAUAACUUUGCAGCAAGGGAACCCUCUGCUACCACUUUAAUUUCAGUGGGCUUUCAAUGAAUGGUGUCAGAAAGGCCUGAGUUUAUCAUGUAAAAUGAGAAUUCUGAGACAGCAUCUGAUUGGCAUGGGAAAAAUUUCAAGAUAGCCACCAUUUUCAUCAUGUGCAGAUGUACAUGUGACUUACAUAUUGCUGCAGAGUUAGUUCUCAAAAUCACACGCAAGACCAAUAUGAAUCUUAAAUAAUUCAUUGGCUCUGUUAUGGACUUUUAUGUAAAGCUCCAAGGACAAAAAUAUUUUCAGGUUCAGGUUAGUAGCAUGCAUGAUGCAUACAUAAACUUCUGGACUAAUAUGUUAUAAAAAGGAAUGGAAAAAAACUAGAGUAAUUUCAAAAUAAGCUUUGAAAAAAAAUUUGAACCUCCUUAAUCUUACAUAUACUUUAAAUGCUUUCAUGUACUUUGUCUAAGUAAAGCAAAUUUUUCCAUAAAAGAAAUCUUGGCUAGAAAAUAUGCCUGGUAAAUCAGUCUUCUAAAAGCUGCUGGAGAUAGGGGGAAAAAAUUAGUAAUGUAACUGCCUAUCUAAUUCUGGGCACUAUAUUAGCUUUUUUUUUUCUUUUUUUGGCAAAAAAAUUUCUGUUUUCACUAAUCCUAUCUCACCUCAUUUCAAGAGGAUUCCAUUAGUUGGAUAAGCAAGAAAAUGUUCUUUGCCUCCUUUAUGUAACUUAGUGUCUCCACGUAAAUAAAAUGCCUUAAGGAAGAAGAAAUUGCCGAGAAGGUAGGAAGAAAGACAAGAACAGGGCUAAAAGGACUUGGUUUUAACAGGCAUAUACUUGAGAACCUUUAGUCUAAGAACUUCUGGAGGGUGGGGUGGGGUCAUCCUGGGAUUAAUGAUGAAGGGAUCCUGUCACCUUUGAGUUUGAGUGUUUUCUUACCUGUGGUUCUGCAACAAAGAAGCUAUUGUGCUUUUAAAAAGAAGCUUUAACAAUGUCAGGGAAGCCAGGCAAAGGGGCCAGCAGGGUGGUUGCUUACUGAAAAUUUCAGUAGCAUUUUCAAGAUAAUUGGCUUAAUUACAUGCCAAACUAAAUUGUAAUUUUAAGGGCACUACAAAUAACAAAGAUUUAUUCUAAAGCUCUGUAAGUAGGCUUUUGUUCUUUAUUUCCUGUAAAUAGAUCUCUGGUGGAAUAACCAGGACCUGAAAUGUUUGGGUCAAGACUGUGAGACAGAGGCACUCUGCUUGGGGAUAGGUAGAGCUAUUUGGAUCAAGGAAUGUAUAUAGUCACUCUGAGUGUGAUAGGUAGAACUAAAUAAAAUAAAUUCUAAUAUUGUUAAUUUGUGUUUUAUAUAGUGUUCCAGCUAAAGGCAGGUUAGUGAGUAGUUACAAGCAGGACUUCUCUUUGGAGCCAGACUGCUGGGAUUUAUUGCUUAACUUUCCACUAUGUGUGUGAUCAGUAGAACAAGUAAAAACUACCUAUAAUCCCAGGCCUGAAGAAAAUACAAAAUAUUUACAUUAAGGGAUGAAAGUAAACCUGUACUCCGUUAACCAUUCUACAUUUGAUUUGUAUCCAUUGUCAACUUUUUCCUAAAGUCAGACACAUCAGUAUAUAAUGAAUACAUGCAUUAUGCUGAUAUUACUGUUUUGCAACUUAAAAAAAAAAUAGUGAUCUAACAUGAACCAUUUUUUAGGUUAGUACAUAUAAGUUUACCUCAUGAAAAAAGAUGACUAUACUAUUUCUUUGUCUUAGUAACUAUUGGUCCAUUUAAUGAGCAUUUAGGUUUCCAUUAUUUCACUACUGUUAUGGUAGUGAAGUGAAGAUCCUUAGACAUAACAUAUUAAUGUUAUUAUUUAAUUAGGCUAGAUUUCAAACUGAGAUGAUGAAUCCAAGAAUAUGCACACUUUUAAUUUCAUUUUUUAUUGAGAUAUAAUUAACAUAUUAGUUUCAGAUGUAAAACAUAAUGAUUCAGUAUUUGUAUAUAUUGCAAAAUGAUCACAGUAAGUGUAGUUAACAUUCAUCACCAUAUAUAGUUACAACAUUUUUUUCUUGGAGAAGUUUUAAGAUUUAUUCUUAGCAGCUUUCAAAAAUACAAUAUAGUAUUACUAACUAUAGUUACUAUGCUGUAUAUAACAUCUCUGGGAUUUAUUUAUAAAUACGUGUCUUCCUUUUAACCAACUUCAUCCAUUUUAAUCCCUUCCCAACCCCUGCUUCUGGCAACCACCAAUCUGUUUGCAUUUAUCAAUUUGGGUUUAUUUUUUAAAAAAUUUUAAAACUUUAUUUAUUUUGAGAGACAGAGAGAGCAUGAGCAGGGGAGGGGUAAAGUGAGGGAGA